GACGAACCGUGCGAACGUUGUUCGGAAUCACUGGGCUUAAAGGGCGCGUAGGCGGCAGGCGAGGUCGGGGGGUGAAAUCCCACAGCUUAACUGUGGAAGAGCCUCCGAUACCGGCUUGCUGGAGGAGGGUAGGGGUGCGCGGAACUUCUGGUGGAGCGGUGAAAUGCGUUGAUAUCAGAAGGAACGCCGGCGGCGAAAGCGGCGCACUGGACCCUUUCUGACGCUGAGGCGCGAAAGCCAGGGGAGCAAACGGG
rnacentral:rRNA from 1 species